UGUGGCAGACACUUUACUAUGGGAGAAGCCAGUGCUCCGUAACUCAUUGUCUCUUCACUUUUCACAGAUUUAUAAAAUUUCAGCAGUUCUCCACAGCCCAGUGAAAUCAUCACAGAUCCAUUUUAUUCAGCUGAUUCUUGCUGCUCUGUGUUCCUGUUUUGAGCUAUGGGAUGAAUGUACUACUAUGCAUCUACUUCAGUUACUGGAACAUUAUUGCUUCUGUUUUCUGAGGUAAGAAUCAGCAAUGGUUUUGGUAUUUGUCACUGAGUCUUGAAGAUACUCAAGUCAAGAAUCAAGCCAAAUUUUUAAACGAUUUUGUCGUUUAAAUUUCAUUUUUUUCUUCUGGUUCAGCCAGUG
rnacentral:lncRNA from 1 species